rnacentral:rRNA from 1 species
UACGUAGGUGGCGAGCGUUAUCCGGAUUUACUGGGCGUAAAGAGAGCGUAGGCGGUCUUUCAAGUUGGAUGUAAAAUCUCCCGGCUUAACUGGGAGGGAUCGUCCAAUACUGUUAGGCUAGAGGGCAACAGAGGAAGAUGGAAUUCCCGGUGUAGUGGUGAAAUGCGUAGAUAUCGGGAGGAACACCAGUGGCGAAGGCGGUCUUCUGGGUUGUACCUGACGCUCAGGCUCGAAAGCGUGGGGAG